UACGAAGGGAGCUAGCGUUGUUCGGAAUUACUGGGCGUAAAGGGCGCGUAGGCGGCCCGCUAAGUCGAACGUGAAAUCCCCAGGCUCAACCUGGGAACUGCGUCCGAUACUGGCAGGCUUGAAUCCGGGAGAGGGAUGUGGAAUUCCAGGUGUAGUGGUGAAAUGCGUAGAUAUCGGGAGGAACACCAGUGGCGAAGGCGACUUCCUGGCCUGUUCUUGACGCUGAGGCGCGAAAGCUAGGGGAGCAAACGGG
rnacentral:rRNA from 1 species